CCCGCUAACGCGGAGGGAUGGAUGCUGGAAAGCUCUGUAAAAAACCGACUUAAAGGCAAUUGAUGUCGGAAGCGGAGACCCUGAAGUUCACGACUCUUGGAGGGGAGGGGAAAUGAAAGGCUUUCAAAGAAGAAGGUACCGUACAUUCAGCGGUAUGGCGGCGUGGGAAAUGGAACGAAAUUAGUAGUGUGGGCUGAAGAUCAUGCGAGGAGAAAGGAUUUCUCGGAACCUUUCUAUACUGACGACACUGUACCUCUUUCCAGAAAGCAGUCGUGAUGGUUCCAGAGAGGAUGGGUUUAGUGUCAAGUCACUAGCAACACAAGGUAUAGAAUCCUUCAGAUCAACUUAUCAAUUAAGUUCAAUAUGGAAGGCAUAUAAAUAUGGUUGAAAUACGGAAGGAUAAGAGUUACUCCAACCUGCCAGUGCUCCUUGACCUCUCUGGUCACUCUUCCCAGGGAAGGCGUGAGGGAAUAUUUUGAGAGCCAAUGGAAAGAGUCAUCCUCUCAUGAAUGAUCUCAUAAAUGUUUUGAAAUAUCAUGUCUGUAAUACGCUACUUGUUUAUAUAUUCCAAUUAUUUUUUAUUUUUCUGCCUAUCUCAUUCUUUAAGUUUUGGAACCUAUCUUUGUAAUGAGACUUAAUAAGACAUUGAAACAGCUAAUAAAUAGGUAAAAUUACAACAUGAGGUUGGGAUUAGGAAUUGUAAUAUUAACAUAUUUUUUUUAAAAUGCUCGUUAUUGACAAUAAGUGAAUAAAUACCUUUGAUUUUGAUUUAGCUUAUUAAAACUGUUAAUCGAUAAAUAAUUUGAUAAUGCCAUCUGUUUACAGUGUUGUUAUCCUUUUAUAUACAAAAUUUUAUAUAUAGGAUUUCACCUUAAAGAAAUAGCCAGGAAUACAUAGAAAUAUUUAUUAUAGAUAACAUAUAAACAAUACAGUGUUGAACAUUGUGGGACAGCUUACUUGAAUCAUACAUUGCACAGCCAUGAGUGAUAUUCUCUUCAGUGAUAUUAUGAAGAUAUUGAGAUAUCUCAUAUUGAUAGUAUAAAAAGAAAAAAUAAGUACUUAUAAUGAAUCUGGUACCAUACCCAACACCUUUACCAUACUACUUACAUUAGCUUAAAAAUAUCCCUAUGUGAUAUUGGGGGUAAGGUGCUUGCUUUGCAUGUGACCAAUCUAGGUUCAAUCCUGGGCUCCCUGUAUUGCUCCCCAGGCAGAGCCAGAAACAAGCCCUGAGUACCUCUAGGUGUGGUCCAAAACAAAGCUAAGCAA